CCUACGGGGGGCUGCAGUGGGGAAUAUUGCGCAAUGGGGGAAACCCUGACGCAGCAACGCCGCGUGAGUGAUGAAGGCCUUAGGGUUGUAAAGCUCUGUUAUCUGGGACGAUAAUGACGGUACCAGAGGAGGAAGCCACGGCUAACUACGUGCCAGCAGCCGCGGUAAUACGUAGGUGGCGAGCGUUGUCCGGAUUUACUGGGCGUAAAGAGUGCGUAGGCGGAUGUUUAAGUGAGAUGUGAAAUACCCGAGCUCAACUUGGGUGCUGCAUUUCAAACUGGGCAUCUAGAGUGCAGGAGAGGAAAGCGGAAUUCCUAGUGUAGCGGUGAAAUGCGUAGAGAUUAGGAAGAACACCAGUGGCGAAGGCGGCUUUCUGGACUGUAACUGACGCUGAGGCACGAAAGCGUGGGGAGCAAACAGGAUUAGAUACCCCUGUAGUC
rnacentral:rRNA from 1 species